rnacentral:rRNA from 1 species
AUUGAACGCUGGCGGCAGGCCUAACACAUGCAAGUCGAGCGCGCGGCGGACGGGUGAGUAAUGUCUGUGAAACUGCCUGAUGGAGGGGGAUAACUACUGGAAACGGUAGCUCAUACCCCAUACCAUCAGAUGUGCUCCGAUGGGAUUAGCUAGUAGGUGGGGUAACGUCUCACCUAUGCGACGAUCCCUAGCUGGUCUGAGAGGAGGACCAGCAACACUGGAACUGAGACACGGUCCAGACUCCGACGGGAGGCAGCAGUGGGGAAUAUGGCACAAUGGGCGCAAGCCUGAUGCAGCCAUGCCGCGGGUGUGAAGAAGGCCUUCGGGUUGUAAAGCACUUUCAGCGGGGAGGCGUUACCCGCAGAAGAAGCACCGGCUAACUCCGUGCCAGCAGCCGCGGUAAUUC